CAUAGUCCCCCGAAUCCAUGGGGGAUGACGCCUGCCCAGUGGAAACUCUUAACGGCCGCGGUAUUUUGACCGUGCAAAGGUAGCAUAAUCAUUUGUCUCUUAAAUGGGGACUCGUAUGAAUGGCAUUACAUCCUUUAACUGUCUCCCCUUUUUAUCCUUUAAACUUCUACCUGCGUGAAGAAGCGCAGAUAAAAAAGAAAGACGAGAAGACCCUGUCGAGCUUUAGCUUAUAUUGAAAACUAUGAAAUUCUUUUAUAAAGAACCACAAAUUUAAUUAAAGCUUUGGUUGGGGCAACCAUGGAGAAAAAAAAUCCUCCAGUCAACAAGAAGAUUUCAAAUCACUUAUAAAAUCCUUUUAGAACCAGAAAUUCUGGUAAACGGAAAAAGUUACCGCAGGGAUAACAGCGUAAUCUUCUCUAAGAGUUCACAUUGACGAGAAGGUUUGCGACCUCGAUGUUGGAUUGGGGUAACCAAAAGGUGCAGCAGCUUUUUAUGGUUGGACUGUUCGUCCAUUAAAUCCCUACGUGAUCUG
rnacentral:rRNA from 1 species